rnacentral:rRNA from 1 species
CAGCAGCCGCGGUAAUACGUAGGUGGCAAGCGUUGUCCGGAAUUAUUGGGCGUAAAGGGCUCGCAGGCGGUUUCUUAAGUCUGAUGUGAAAGCCCCCGGCUCAACCGGGGAGGGUCAUUGGAAACUGGGAAACUUGAGUGCAGAAGAGGAGAGUGGAAUUCCACGUGUAGCGGUGAAAUGCGUAGAGACGUGGAGGAACACCAGUGGCGAAGGCGACUCUCUGGUCUGUAACUGACGCUGAGGAGCGAAAGCGUGGGGAGCGAACAGGAUUAGAUACCCGCGUAGUCCCUGUCUCUUAUAC